AACGAACGCUGGCGGCAUGCUUAACACAUGCAAGUUGAACGCAGAAUAGGGCUUCGGCUCUAUUGCUGAGUAGCAAACGGGUGAGUAACGCGUGGGAAUCUGCCUUUUUGUGGGGGAUAACUAAGGGAAACUUUAGCUAAUACCGCAUACGCUCUACGGAGGAAAGACUUCGGUCGCAAAAAGAGGAGCCCGCGUCAGAUUAGGUAGUUGGUAGGGUAAAGGCCUACCAAGCCAAUGAUCUGUAGCUGGUCUGAGAGGAUGAUCAGCCACACUGGGACUGAGACACGGCCCAGACUCCUACGGGUGGCAG
rnacentral:rRNA from 1 species